GGUGUUUGCGCGUGAUAAACCCGCUCACCUUAAAUAGAUUAACCUGACUCUGGCUUUCGGGCGGUUUGACUAGGCGUUAUAAGUUAUUUCGCUUAGGACAUCCCUUGGGAUGGCCGUCUCCAAGUCUCAGUCUCGCUUCUCACGAGGCAUAUCUUUUGACAUCUGGCCUCAAAUCAGGUAGGACUACCCGCUGAACUUAA
rnacentral:misc_RNA from 1 species